AUUUUCUGAAGGCAACUGUCCCCUCCGAUAAUUUGUCUGUGCUAAGUUCCAGGUUAUUAUGACUUCACAAGGCCACCAUACGGCCGACCUCUAGAUGACCUGUCUAUGGCAUAUGGGGUCAUGAAUGUUUUGAUGAGAUUGAACCAAAUGAUUUUCAACUGCAUACUUUAGUAGUUUGAUAGAUGCUUUGUUGGAGGUACAGUCAUCGGUGUUCAUAGAAACGGUAUUUCAACUAGGCUAUUGUUCAUAGAGAUGGUAUUUGGUCUGGCCUCGUUUUCAUAGCGAUGAUAUUUGAUCCAGACCAAAGUUCAUAGAAGUGCAUUAGGAUCCAAACCCAGUUAGCUGAAGGAGAACGACGUUGUCUCUGCGCCAGUGAGACCAACGCGCCACAGAUGUGGUCUGUGAUUCACAGCCUAACACCAUUUAUACAAGAUUCCUACAAGAACGGUGUGGGCUGGAGAAGAAACCACAGCGACUCGCUUACAUGUGUGUGCUGGAAGCGGCGGCCCUUAACAGCUAGACCACCCCAGGCUAAACUGAAACCCUUGCUCUGGGCGGACACAUUGGAUGUACAGCAACAAUGAGGUGUAGCCCCCUGUGAGUUCUCAUUGGUUCAACAACCUGUUAGUCAUCUGUCACAGGCAGCAUCGUGUUGUGGGGAUGCUUUUCAUCGAAAGGUACCGAGAAGCUUGUCAGGAUUGAGGGCAAAAUGGAAAGAGCCAAAUGCAGGACAAUCCUAAAGGAAACCCUGCAUUGCUCAACCUCUUUUACAGGUGAGACAACACAAAAAACACUGGUUCUGUCAAAAUGUUGACUGAGUGACGAAUCACAUUUAUGCCCUUAAAUCUCAAUCUACUCCACGGCUUGUUAACGUGAAGGGUAUCAAUAAAGUUAAAAUAAUUUGAACAAUGCAGACGUGUUCAUUUGUGGAGUACUGUACCCGACGCAGCCGGAGAGCUGUAAAGAUAGGCAGGCCCUUGGCCUUGAAAAGACCUGUGUUGUGAAACACACCUUUGUAUUGUUUCAUACAGCCUGCGGGCACAUGUAUUCUCCUUCUGUGGCGCUGCACCUCCCUCCACAGCUUGGAGCUGCUCUGACGAGGUGGUGUGUUGGGAAAGCUUGUGUGAAAAAAAAACAACUGCGUUGCGCGCCCAUGUAAAAGCCUGAGCUUUUAACAAACACGUCUGAAGGCCAACAUGAGAUUUUGGCCAAUGCCUAUGUGUGUGUGUGUGUGUGUGUAUACAUCUUUUUGAGUGUUUAUGUCCGUGUGUGAACAGGUUAGCGAGUAGGUUUAGGGUUAAGAUGAGAUAAAGGUUAGGGUUAGGAUCAGAGGGUAGGUUUUGAGUUAAGGUUAGGUCAGGGUUAGGGCUUGGAUUAGUAAAAUUAAGAUUUUUUAAAGGCAAUGAAUUUUGAUUUCCCCAUUUAGAUGAAUUAGAUGUGUGUGUCUGUUGAAAAGCCUCCCUCCACUUGUCCUUGUUAAGGCUUGUCAGAGCACAUUCCACCAGCACUCCGCUGCUUCAAUCUGUGUUCCCUGACGGCCACAUUCCUGCUUUUACACCAGAGAGAGAGCAGAGAGAGGAGAGAGGGAUGAGGAGAGGGAGAGAGGAGAGGGCAAAGAGAGCGAAUGAGAAAGACCUUGAGCCCAUGUGCACACACACACACCCACACACACACCCACACACACACCCACAAACCCCUGAUUGUUGAUAAUUACAUUAGAAUCAUGCUGCCCUUCAGACUAUGGCGGUGAAGACACCUGAUCUCACAUUGACGCAUUGCAUUAACAUCAGUCAUACUGACAUUAUCUCUCUGAUGAUUACC
rnacentral:lncRNA from 1 species